ensembl:ncRNA C55A6.19 ncRNA
AAAUUAGGGAGUUUUACGGUCGAGUAGCGUGAAUGGGGAAUUUCAUCAAAAAUUCCAAAAUUAUCGUCAAUUUAGAAAUAGAGACAAUUUUGGAUUUUUUGAAGAAAUCCCUAUUGACGCUACUCCACCUUUGAAGAACUAUUUACGAU